rnacentral:lncRNA from 1 species
AUACAUAAUCUCUAUGUAAAUUUGAUAUAUUACAGGUGCAUAAGUUAUUACACCAUAUCUAUAGAAGUUGUUUCGUAGUCUAUACAUAUGUUGAUACAUAAAGUUGUCACACCCUAUAUACAUAAGUUGCUACUAUAUAAUCAAUAUAAGUUACCAGUUACUUAAAACAGCUUCAAAACAUAUCAAAUAUGGAUCUUAUUUUUUAAAUCCCAUUGCAAGGAACACAAUGGUAUAAACAUAUUUAAAAAUGGAUACUUGAUGUGAGAGUCAUGGUCAUUUAAAUAAAGUAGAACCAUUUUUUACUGAUGACAUCAUCACCAAAAGAGACGUCCUCCUGUUAAAUUGAUAAGGUCACGUGUCAAUAAACAAUAGGCAAACAUAGCAAAUUGGCAAUAAAUGGCACUAUCACACCGCUCAUCCCCCAC